rnacentral:rRNA from 1 species
AUUGAACGCUGGCGGAAUGCUUUACACAUGCAAGUCGAACGGCAGCACGGACUUCGGUCUGGUGGCGAGUGGCGAACGGGUGAGUAAUGUAUCGGAACGUGCCCAGUCGUGGGGGAUAACGUAGUGAAAAUUACGCUAAUACCGCAUACGAUCUAUGGAUGAAAGCGGGGGAUCGCAAGACCUCGCGCGAUUGGAGCGGCCGAUAUCAGAGUAGGUAGUUGGUGGGGUAAAUGCCAACCAAGCCAACGAUCUGUAGGUGGUCUGAGAGGACCACCAGCCACACUGGAACUGGGACACGGUCCAGACUCCGACGGGAGGCAGCAGUGGGGAAUUUUGGACAAUGGGCGAAAGCCUGAUCCAGCCAUUCCGCGUGCAGGGUGAAGGCCCUCGGGUUGUAAACUGCUUUUGUACAGAACGAAAAGGUUUCUACUAAUACUAGGAGCUCAUGACGGUACUGUAAGAAUAAGCACCGGCUAACUACGUGCCAGCCGCCGCGGUAA